CCCCUGGUGGCAUAGUGGUUAAUGCCUUUACUGUAGUCACUCGUUCACAAACCAUAAGGUUGUGAGUUCAAUACCAGCCAGGGGC